UGCUAUAUAUUGGUUGAUCUCCCCUCAGCUGCGGCAUCUUAUGUGACAACCCAGGGGUUAUUCUCUACAGUGAAGGAGAUCCAGAGGUGGAUUUAUGGGAUCUGUGAGCAAUACUGUUUACAACCCACUGUUAAGAAAGAGAGCCAGCCACCAUUUGUGAAGUUCCCCCCUCUCGCUGGGGGAGGGCGUUGGACGGAGUGUAACAUUACUGCUACCCCAGGAGUCGGGUUGUCAAGGUCAAAUUCUGAGCAUUCACACAGCGGAGGAGAUGAAAGGAAGGAUUUAGACUCCAGGUAUAAAAGAUGGCACGGAUACAAAACAAGACAUUUGAGUUAGAUCACCGCUGUUAUUAAUUUGUACCUUGAUUUUCUUCAAGUGCUCAGCACUUCCCACCCACCUGAAGUCAAGGGCAGCUUUUGUACAGCAACUCUUAAGGAACUCUUAAGCUGGUAAAUAAGGGUAUGAAAUGAAAGUGAACAGCUCAACUUCAUAACAAGUUUUAAUGUCAUAUGGAUUUUUUAAAGAGCCAUCAGUCUCAUUAAAAAGAAAAGAGUCUCAGUCGAUGCAUUUCUACUGCCUUGGUACCCAGACGUUCAGUCCUGCUACCAUUGAAAUAAAUGAUAGAACUCUCAUUGAUUUCAGUACUGGAGGAUUAGUGCCAGGCAUUAAACAGAUAACCCAAAAGGAAACAGAAUGACUGCAUUCAUUUAUACUUUCUUGUCUAAGAAAUUGCAAAGCAAAAGCAAGUGUUUAUAAUGUCACUGCUGAAGCAACAUCAGAGAUAUUGUUUGAAUAUACUGGAGGAUAAAGUGGUAUUAAAGGCAUGAGGAUUCCUUUCACUCUUUGUGAAAUUCUGUGGCCGGCAGCAUCAUCUACCAUUUACUGCUUGGAAGAUUUUGGGAACAAGGAAAAGACUUUAGUACGGAAGGCAAAGCUACGUUUCUAGUUUUCAGCACUCCAGCAAGUUGCUACAACUUUCUAAUGUGCAACUAGAUGCCAUUGCUCAUGACCAGCAUCACUGGUCUUAAACACUGGAAACAUUAUGACCUCUAGUCAGCUGUCUCUUGCUGCGGUGCACAAUAUACUCCUGUAUCCCAAGCACCAAAAGCCACAGUCUUCAUUUCCCCUUAGAUUAAGACUGCUCUAACAAAUUACUAAAUAUCAGUUCCAUACCUC